GUAAGGGAAGAAACAUUCCUAAAAAUAAAUCAAACAAAUGACAAAUACAACCGAGUGAGCUUGUGUGUGUGUGUGUGUGUGUGUGUGUUUUGCUUCAUGGCUCGUAUUGCAUAACAGUGGGUUUAUGUUAUUUUACAUCUAUUAAGAGAAACGACCAAAGAGUCUGUCUCUCAGUUCGCUGAUGGAUAUCGGGGGGUUGGAGACGGUGGUGGCGAACUCAGCAUAUGUCUCGGCUCGUGGAAGUUUGGAUGCUGCGGCUGCUGCAGCGAUACGAGAUAAAAAAUAUCGAGCUAAAAUAAAUCUUCCACACAUCAGAGAGUGUGAGCACAUGAAGGCCACAGUCGACACUGCCUUUGAGAGCAUGUGUAUUCUCCAGCCAAUUGGAAAACGUCUCUUUCAGCAGUUCCUCUCCAGUGACCUCAUCCACAGAGCCGCUGGAGAGUUCUGGAAGGAUGUGGAAGACUACAACACGAUGCCGGACAAAGACCGUGUCCAUAAAGCACAGAAGAUCAUCAACCAGUACUUUGAAAUAAGCUCUAAAGACUUUUGCAGCUUCCUUGAGGAGAAAGCAGUGAUCCGCGUGAAAGAAGAUCACCAAAAUGCCAGGACCGAUCUUUUUAAGGAGAGUGAGCAGCAGCUGCUGAAACACCUGGAGGCCAGCGCACUGAGUGGGUUUAAAGCCAGCCCAUACUUCCUGCGUUAUGUCCAGUUUAAAUGGUUGGAGGGACAGACAGUGACAGAGGACUGGUUCAUGGAGUUCCGUGUCCUCGGUAAAGGUGGCUUCGGUGAGGUUCAUGCCUGCCAGAUGAAGGCCACUGGAAAACUGUACGCCAACAAGAAGCUAAACAAGAAACGGCUGAAGAAGCGCAAAGGCUACAAUAGUGCAAUGGUGGAAAAGAGAAUCCUGGAAAAAGUGCACAGUCGAUUUAUCGUCUCUCUUGCGUAUGCUUUCCAAACCAAAAGUGACCUCUGUCUCAUAAUGACUAUCAUGAAUGGAGGAGAUCUCAGAUAUCACAUGUAUAAUGUAGAUGAGAAGAAUCCGGGCUUUAGUGAAGUUAGAGCGUGUUUCUACUGUGCUCAGAUCAUCUGUGGACUAGAACAUUUACACCAACACAGAAUCAUCUACAGAGACCUGAAACCUGAGAAUGUUCUCCUUGAUGAUGAAGGUCAUGUUCGGCUGUCUGAUCUUGGUUUGGCUGUUGAACUUCCUCCAGGAAGAGACAAAACUAAAGGACAUGCAGGAACACCAGGGUUUAUGGCUCCUGAGCUGCUGCAGGACAAAGAAUAUGACUACACUGUGGAUUACUUCACUCUUGGGGUGAUGCUCUAUGAAAUGGUGGCAGCUAAAGGACCAUUUAGAGUCAGAGGAGAACAGGUGGAGAUCAGCGAGGUGACGAGGCGGAUCCUGAGUGAUUCACCCUGUUACCCCUCCACCUUCAGUAACGAGCUGAAGCAGCUGUGUGAAGGGUUAAUGGAGAAAAAUCCAGAAAAACGCCUGGGCUUCAAAUAUAAUCAGUGCUUGGAGCUGAAAAAGCAACCCUUCUUUAAAGAACUGCACUGGGGUCAGCUGGAGGCAGGUCUUCUUCCUCCUCCAUUUGUUCCUGAUUCUAAGAUGGUCUAUGCAAAGAAUAUUGAUGAUGUGGGUGUCUUCAGUACUGUUAAAGGUGUAACAACUGAUUCUAAAGAUAACGAGUUUUAUAAUGAGUUUGCAUCUGGGAACAUUCCAAUUCCAUGGCAAGAAGAAAUGAUAGAGACCGGAGUGUUUGGAGAGCUGAAUGUUUGGGGUGACGAUGGGAAACUCCCCAACGACCUUGACCUCAACUAUGUCCAGAGCAAAGGAGGAGGGUGUAUUAUACUGUAGACAGAUAGAUAGAUAGAUAGAUAGAUAGAUAGAUAGAUAGAUAGAUAGAUAGAUAGAGAAUUCAGUAAAUAAAUCCAAUACAUAGACAUGAAACACACUGACUUUCUCUCUCUCUCUCUCUCUCUCUCUCUCUCUCUCUCUCUCUCUCACACACACUCACACACACACUCACACACACACACAACUGAAUGUUUAACAUUUAUAAAACUUCCCUGCUGAAGUUAUUUAAAUUCAGAUUUCAGUGUGUGUCAGUUCCUAAUUAUGAAAUACUCGAAACCUGUCUGUGUGUCAAUAGUUUACAUUUUAGUAAAUAACGUUAGGGUAAAUAUAGGUGUGUGUGUGUAUGUGUGUGUGGGUGUGUGUGUGUUUAAUAUAUAUUUAUAGCCUUUAUAGUACAGUAACACACAGCACUUGUGUAAUGAGUUUGUUUCCUGCCUCCUUUCCCUUCAGUUCCAGACAUUACAACAUGUAGACUUUCACAAAAAAGGUGUUUUUGAUUUCACUUUGUAGUAAAGCUGAACGUCGGUGACAUUUAAUCUGUGAGUUUGACUAAUACAGAAGCGCAUAAUGUUGAUCGUCUCAUGUCAUCUGAUCUCUAAACUAUAUACAAGAAGCACGAGCCACACUGAUUAUCCAUACUGUGAAUGUGACAUCACAUCCUGUCACCUAUUAGUAGACGUUCUGCUGUGUCCAGUUUCAGAUUCAAAUACAUAUCUCAGUGAUUCUUACAGGGUCUCAGACACACACACAAACACAUACACAAACACACACAAACACAUACACAAACACACACAAACACACACAAAGGUCAGACUGCUCACUUCCUCUCCAACACAAUGAAAAAGAAACACAAGAGUACAAAAGAAGAAGUGAACAUCACCAAGGGGAAUAUUUACUGGCUGAAAGAGAAAAUGCACGCCCUCAGACACAAUCACGCACACGCACACACACACACACGCACACACACACACACACGGUCUUUGGGCUCUUCGUCAUGACAGCAGCAGCAAAACCAAGUUUGUUAGCUGCUUUACUUAUUCACUCAAAGCAGCAAGUUCAUCUGGAAGUUUCAAGGGACGUUUCAGAAGUGAAGUGAAGCUGUACAGGUUGAAAAAUCUCCUUGAUUCUGGCUGUGCA